rnacentral:rRNA from 1 species
GACGAACGCUGGCGGCGUGCUUAACACAUGCAAGUCGAACGGAAAGGCCCUGCUUUUGUGGGGUGCUCGAGUGGCGAACGGGUGAGUAACACGUGAGUAACCUGCCCUUGACUUUGGGAUAACUUCAGGAAACUGGGGCUAAUACCGGAUAGGAGCUCCUGCUGCAUGGUGGGGGUUGGAAAGUUUCGGCGGUUGGGGAUGGACUCGCGGCUUAUCAGCUUGUUGGUGGGGUAGUGGCUUACCAAGGCUUUGACGGGUAGCCGGCCUGAGAGGGUGACCGGCCACAUUGGGACUGAGAUACGGCCCAGACUCCUACGUUAGGCAGCAGUGGGGAAUAUUGCACAAUGGGCGGAAGCCUGAUGCAGCAACGCCGCGUGCGGGAUGACGGCCUUCGGGUUGUAAACCGCUUUCGCCUGUGACGAAGCGUGAGUGACGGUAAUGGGUAAAGAAGCACCGGCUAACUACGUG